ensembl:lncRNA novel transcript
AGUCUCUCACUAUCGCCCGGGCUGGAGUGCAAUGGCACGAUCUCCGCUCACUGCAACCUCCGCUUCCCAAGUUCAAGUGAUUCUCCUGCCUCAGCCUCCCGAGUGUCUGGGACUACAGGCACUUAGCACUUGCUAGAGGCGAGCCUGAAUAAGUCCCUAUCCUCAAGGUGUUGACAACAAGAGAUCAUCUCACCAAUAACAUCCAUGAAGGUAUAAGAGAUGUACACGUUUGUGAUGACUCAAGAAUAAAUUC